UACAGAGGUCUCAAGCGUUGUUCGGAUUCAUUGGGCGUAAAGGGUGCGUAGGCGGCGCGGUAAGUCGGGUGUGAAAUCUUGGAGCUUAACUCCGAAACUGCAUUCGAUACUGCCGUGCUUGAGGACUGGAGAGGAGACUGGAAUUUACGGUGUAGCGGUGAAAUGCGUAGAUAUCGUAAGGAAGACCAGUGGCGAAGGCGGGUCUCUGGGCCAUUACUGACGCUGAGGAGCGAAAGCGUGGGGAGCGAACAGG
rnacentral:rRNA from 1 species